rnacentral:rRNA from 1 species
AUACGUAGGUGGCAAGCGUUAUCCGGAAUUAUUGGGCGUAAAGAGGGAGCAGGCGGCAGCAAGGGUCUGUGGUGAAAGCCUGAAGCUUAACUUCAGUAAGCCAUAGAAACCAGGCAGCUAGAGUGCAGGAGAGGAUCGUGGAAUUCCAUGUGUAGCGGUGAAAUGCGUAGAUAUAUGGAGGAACACCAGUGGCGAAGGCGACGAUCUGGCCUGCAACUGACGCUCAGUCCCGAAAGCGUGGGGAGCAAAUAGGAUUAGAUACCCUAGUAGUCCACGCCGUAAACGAUGAGUACUAAGUGUUGGAUGUCAAAGUUCAGUGCUGCAGUUAACGCAAUAAGUACUCCGCCUGAGUAGUACGUUCGCAAGAAUGAAACUCAAAGGAAUUGACGGGG